rnacentral:rRNA from 1 species
GUAGGUGGCAAGCGUUGUCCGGAAUUAUUGGGCGUAAAGCGCGCGCAGGCGGUUCUUUAAGUCUGAUGUGAAAGCCCACGGCUCAACCGUGGAGGGUCAUUGGAAACUGGAGAACUUGAGUACAGAAGAGGAAAGCGGAAUUCCACGUGUAGCGGUGAAAUGCGUAGAGAUGUGGAGGAACACCAGUGGCGAAGGCGGCUUUCUGGUCUGUAACUGACGCUGAGGCGCGAAAGCGUGGGGAGCAAACAGGAUUAGAUACCCUGGUAGUCCACGCCGUAAACGAUGAGUGCUAAGUGUUAGGGGGGUUUUCCGCCCCCCUUAGUGCUGCAGCUAACGCAUUAAGCACUCCGCCUGUGGAGUACGGCCGCAAGGCUG